rnacentral:lncRNA from 1 species
CAACUUGACGCGACUUGAGGCAAGCCAUAUUGUCCGUUACGUCACGAUUUUCAACAAGGUUACAAUGCUGACGCCAUGCAGUUUCCUAUCCAGUCAGUGAUCCAGUCUUUUAACCAAAUAGUAAAUAUGUAUAUAUUUACUCUUUGUUUUAACUAUCCAUGUUUCAACCAAGAAAGGUUAAUCUCUCCUCUCAGUCCUCUGUGGUUUGGCUGAAUUGCAUGUUGAAUGUGCUAGUUCUGUUGGCUUGUCUGAAACCCAAGUAAAAAACUGGAUAAGUAAUUAAAGCUAGCAAACGAUCAUCUGGUGAACAUAGGCAAAAUGCUAGUAAAUCAGUUCUAAUUCCGAAGUGGAGUGGCUAUAAUGUUUUUGCCAAGGAACAACUUGCUGAAGGUAAAUAAAUCUGAAAUAUCACUGUGAUAUAUACUGUUAAUACCUGUACAAAACAUUAACGGAUAAGAAAAGAGAGGAUAACAUAUGAACUUCAAUCUUUAUGAUUAUAUUGAUGAUAUAUAUUAACCCCCAGUACAUCCCGUAAUUGGGUUUCACAUGCAUGUUACUCAAUUUGGCAAAUCGGGUUUUAUAUAUAGAUUCUUUGCCGAGUAAACUUUUGGUUGAUAGGAUAACUACAUAAAAAAUAUAACGAUCGAUCGCGUUGCACUGCAUCGUAAUACUUUACUAAUAAUUCCCGUUAUAUUUUUCAGAUAUUUAUCCUUAAGUUGGUUAGAAAAAACCCCGCCAGUUUAUCUUGUUAAUACAUUAAGCGGUCAUGACGUCAAAUGCAUGCACUGGGACAGCAGAGGGUCGUUAGAGGGGGGCUAAUAUUCAUUCUUUCAUAUUAAUAGACAGUAAUAACAAUCAAUUUCAAAAGAAACUAGUAAUGCUAAACGUGAAUGUAUUAAUAUUACCCCCCCCCAAAAAAAACUUAACGACGUUCUGCGUCCCUGAUGCAUUCUAUUUUGACCACUUACUUUUUCUUUUGAUCUGUACAGUAUUUGCUGAAAAUUGGCCAUCCGUUUUUGCAAGAUCCAGCUGAUACAGGCAUAAUUAUGAGGCCAUUAUAAAUCCUUUUCGGUAUCAUUACACCAUGACAUCAUUCACUGUAGUCUGUAUAUGCUACUGUAUAUAACAUUUUGUACUAUUUGAAUGUAGGAGACUCCAAGAGCAAGAAACAAAAGUUCUCUGAAAUAUCUCUUAUGCGCACAGUAGCUGCGACUGCAGCAUCUCGCUUGCGUCAGGGUGUAAACUCUUGUGCAUCCGGAUCCAGUCUAGUUGUGGUCUUUUCAUCACAUUCUAACUCUAAUGGAAAUAGGUGCUGUAUCGCUCGUUCAAGGCAAUUUCAAGCCAUGCUGCGUCUACAGCGGGGAACAUUAUUCUGCAUCUUGUGCAGUUGUUAGUGGUCGUAAGGAGGGCAAGGGUAUUUUGCGGAAAACAGGACGUAAAAUCGCUACAACGAAGAUCGUUACAAGAGCCCGAGCUAUUGAGAGAGUACGACCAGAUCAUCAAAGAUCAACUAGAAGCAGGAAUAAUCGGGAGGGUUCCUCAGCAAGAAGCGGCAAAGUUGCAAGGGGUUCAUUAUAUGCCUCACCAUGGUGUUAUUCGUAAGGACAAGAAAACCACAAAGCUCAGGGUGGUGUACGAUGGGUCCGCGCGUCCCCUGUUGCCGCGAAGAACCAUCCAUUAAUGAUUGUAUACAUUCUGGACCUAAUAACCUCAUACAAAAGCUGGUUGAUGAAUUGGUAAAAUUUUGAAGUCAUUCCGUCGCCUUAGUAGCAGAUAUCGAGAAAGCAUUUCUUAUGAUUGGUGUCAAUGAGAUUGUUCGGGGUAUGCUGCGGUUCCUUUGGUUGAAGAACCCCCCAAUUUGAACAGUAAAAUCAAUAAUCUCAGAUUUACGAGAUUGGUGUUUGAAUUGCGUCAAUCGUCUGCGAUUGUGAAUUAAACUAUACGUCAGCACUUACUGAAUACAAGCAUUUAUCCAGACAUUGUAAAACUCAUCGAAGAGUCCCUUUAUGUGGACGAUUGAAUUUCUGGGGCCGAAAGCAACGAUAAAGCGUUUGACGUGUAUAAAACAGCAAAGAAAGUAAUGGUGGCUGGAGGUUUUAACUUGAGAGAGUGGCAAUCGAAUUCAGAAGCAUUAAUGAGAAAUAUUGACGAAGCAGAGUCCGAGAUUAAUCGUGAAAGUAAUAAAGAUCAAGCCAUACCCGGAACGAUUUAAGAAGAAGAUGAAACUUAUACGAAAUCUGUAGUAGGAUCCGGUAAUAGUUCGAAUGCUGAUAAAUUCGUAAAGUUUUUGAUAGUUGAACAAAAUGGUUUAGACAGUUGAUCACUGAAGUGAAUCAACAGGGGGAGUGUAAAGAACAUUUAUAUUUAUUCUUAAGACUAACUUUAGUAUGUAAAAUUAUGUUAAUUUAUGUAUGUGAUUUUUGCCCACGUGAUUAUGUCGUGUUCGUUGCUAACAUAAAAUUCCGAAUAUUGUUUUUGAUUCAAAUACGAUUGCGUUUCUAUUUUUGUGUGAGAAAUGUAAG